rnacentral:rRNA from 1 species
CAAUAGCGUAUAUUAAAGUUGUUGCGGUAAAAAAGCUCGUAGUUGGAUUUCUACCGAAGAUAGCCGGUCGGGUCUUCGACCUUGUAUCUGGUUUUGUCUUUGGUAUCCUCAUAGGGAACGUUUCUGCGCUUUAUUGCGUGGUGCGGUAUCUAUGACUUUUACUUUGAGGAGAUUAGAGUGUUCACGGCAGGCAAACGCCUUGAAUAUAUUAGCAUGGAAUAAUAACAUAGGAUCUUCGUCCUAUUUUGUUGGUUUCUAGGGCUAAGAUAAUGAUUAAUAGGGAUAAUUGGGGGCAUCUGUAUCAACGCGUCAGAGGUGGAAUUCUUGGAUUGCGUUGCGACAAACUACUGCGAAAGCAUUUGCCAAGGAUGUUUUCAUUGA